CCUACGGGGUGCAGCAGUGGGGAAUAUUGCGCAAUGGGCGAAAGCCUGACGCAGCGACGCCGCGUGAGGGAUGAAGGUCUUCGGAUCGUAAACCUCUGUCAGCAGGGAAGAACGGUCACUGUGCUAAUCAGCCGUGAAUUGACGGUACCUGCAAAGGAAGCACCGGCUAACUCCGUGCCAGCAGCCGCGGUAAUACGGAGGGUGCGAGCGUUAAUCGGAAUUACUGGGCGUAAAGCGCGCGUAGGCGGUAUGUUAAGUCAAGGGUGAAAUCCCCGGGCUCAACGUGGGAACUGCCUUUGAAACUGGCAGACUGGAGUGUGGGAGAGGGGAGUGGAAUUCCAGGUGUAGGAGUGAAAUGCGUAGAGAUAAGGAGGAACACCAGUGGCGAAGGCGGUCUGCUGGACAGCAACUGACGGUGAGGCGCGAAAGCGUGGGGAGCAAACAGGAUUAGAUACCCCUGUAGUC
rnacentral:rRNA from 1 species